AACGCACAUUGCGCCCUUUGGUAUUCCGAAGGGCAUGCCUGUUCGAGCGUCAUUAUCACCCCUCAAGCCCUUGGGCUUGGUGUUGGACGGUUUGGUGGAGGCCCUCGGGCGUGCCACCCCUCCUAAAGACAAUGACGGCGGCCUGUUGGAACCCCCGGUACAUUGAGCUUCUUAACUGAGCACGUAUCGGAUCCAGGGAACCCAGGACCCGGUCUUCUCCCUUCUCGGGAAUUUUUCUUAAGGUUGACCUCGGAUCAGGUAGGAAUACCCGCUGAACUUAA
rnacentral:misc_RNA from 1 species